GUGUUGAUUGCGAUCCAUGCUUCGUUCAGAUUCAGCAAGCUGAAUUUUUGAAGAAGAAAAUUCAAAUUGAAGAGGGCUGUUCCAAGUUGAUCUCGAGUGGAUACUCAUAGAGAUCGGAUACUUGUGCGGUUAAUAGAGAAUUUCUUUUCUUCCAGAUCUAAAUUUGAAAAAAAAAAUUACGAAAUAGAUAUGUGAUUUGAUCACAAUCUGAAUUUCAGCAUAUGAGAUAGAUCCAUGUGAUUUUAU
rnacentral:lncRNA from 1 species